CUUUCCUGUUUGUUUGUUUGUUCCUUUUUCCUCGCCAUGAUUGCAGAGAGGAAGGAAUCUGGCUCCUACCUCCCUGAAGACCUCGGGCUUGGAGAGCAAUUACUCAGCACUGCAGGCUCUGGUGGAGAAUUAAAGGGGAAAUGUCCAAGCCCUUAUUGCUCGUCAGGAGGUCACUGGGAACGAUGUUAUCACUCCAUGGGGUCCCAGCACUGGCUGCAGGUGAUAUUUGAUGGGAAAAUUUGAGCUUGGAAGCACAAGAGCUGUUGGAAUCCCGCCCUUUUUCAUGGAUAGAGCUGCACAGCUCGGACAGCCGUAUCCCGCUGCUCCCAGUUUGCCUCCCAGAUCUUCUCCUAUGUGCUGGAACAACCUGCAAGAGCCUCAAGCCCUCCUUCCCUUCCAUGUGUGACCAGUGGCAUGGUGACAGCCAGCAGAUAAAGAGCACAGCCCAAACCCUUGGGAAAGGCAGCGCCACUCCCGCUGGGAAUCCUUCAAUCCAUGGGUUUGUCUCUAGGAGAGCCCAGAGGCCUGGGGGCUGUUUGGAAAAGAGAAUCCGAAACUCAUCCUAUCAAACCAAACUGGCAGGAAAGGAUCCAUUUUGGCUUGCCCCUCAUUCCAUGGAUGUGGAGAAAUCCACACGCAUCCCAUUUACGGCUUCGAGGAAAUUUCUCCUGGCCCGACCCAUGUGGCACAUAUGGAAUCCAUUUUCCCUCACACCUGGCCACAUAUAUUUGUUAUGAAAGGUUCAUGACUCCACGGGCUGUGUGACCUGUUCCCAGGGUGAUUGGAGUUAAAUGUGUUUCCUGCUCUCCCAAAUUCCAUAUAAACCGAAUAAACCAAUCCAUAGAUCCCCGGUGUAAUAUCCUGAGCCUACAAACACACGCAGGCAAUAAGUCAGGGAGGAGGGAAAAAUCCACUUGCUGCUUCCCAUUAGUGAGCAGCUGUGAGGGGAAGGGAAGGAGGGCAGGAAAAGCCCUGGAAAUUCAGGGAACAACAGGAAUUUUGUUGUUCUCGAGCCCUAAAACCAGUUUCAAGCCCAACAUCUGAUCUUGGAGCUGGUGCUCCAUGUGGAAAAGGUGAUUCUGGAGCCUCAGGGAAUGGGAAUAAUGCUCCAUGCAUUGGGGUGUUCAGGCAUCAUUUCAUUGCACUUGUAAUA